rnacentral:rRNA from 1 species
GAUGAACGCUGGCGGCGUGCCUAAUACAUGCAAGUCGAGCGAACAGAUGAUGAGCUUGCUCCUCUGACGUUAGCGACGGACGGGUGAGUAACAAGUGCAUAACCUACCUAUAUGACUGGGAUAACAUCGGGAAACCGCAGCUACUACUACAUAAUAUAUUGUACCGCAUGGUUCAGUAGUGCAUGACGGUUUUCCUGUCACUUAUAGAUGGAUCCGCGUCGCAUUAGCUAGUUGGUAAGGUAACGGCCUACCAAGGCAACGAUGCGUAGCCGACCUGAGAGGGUGAUCAGCCACACUGGAACUGAGACACGGUCCAGACUCCUACGGGAGGCAGCAGUAGGGAAUCUUCGGCAAUGGGCGCAAGCCUGACGGAGCAACGCCGCGUGAGUGAUGAAGGUCUUCGGAUCGUAAAGCUCUGUUAUUAGGGAAGAAAAGAUGUGUAAUUAACUACGCACGUCUUGACGGUACCUAAACAGAAAGCCACGGCUAACUACGUG